GAUGGAGCCUCCUGGUUUAGAAAGCUCAUGUGUUGUUUGCGCUCUGUUGGCUGUGUUUUUCUGACACAACACUUGCUGUCGUUUGGUUUUAACAGUGAAAUCUGCAUCUGUGCACACGAACGUCUCCUCAUGUCUAUUCUCCAGCACCCGUGGGAUACUGCCAAGAAAUUAGACAUCCAGCAGUGAUAUAAAUUAUCUUAAUGAAAGAUAAUU